GGUGGGGGUGGGGAAGGGGCCGUGCCGGGGACACCGAGCGAGGUGCGGGGAGAGAGAAGGAGGGAGGGAGAAGGAGAGAGAGAGCGGCCGGCUCUGGAGAGGAGGAGGAGGAGGAGGAAGAGGAGGAAGCCCGCGGGCAGUAGACGGCGGUUGCGUGCGUCCGUCCGUCCGUGCCGGAGGGGGAGCCGCGAUGUGAAGCCCCACACACACACAACACGCACACGCACACGCACGGCCCGGCAGGGCAGGAGGCAGCGGCGGCGCUCCCGGGAAUGUGUGUCUGGGACGCGGCAGAAGAAGCUUCAGUAUGAGGCGGGGUGGAUGGCGGAAACGAGCUGCCGAUGGCGAUGGAUGGGGAAUAUGGGGUGGGUACAUGUCAGCAAAAGUUAAGAAAUUGGAGGAGCAGUUCCGGUCAGAUUCAGCCAUACAACAGCAGAGGGAUGGUAAUUCAUCAAGUAUCUUUAGCGGAGUCGCCAUCUACGUCAAUGGCUUGACAGAUCCCUCAGCUGAUGAAUUAAGACGGCUGAUGAUGUUACAUGGAGGCCAAUACCAUGUAUACUAUUCCAGAUCAAAAACAACUCACAUUAUUGCCACCAAUCUUCCAAAUGCCAAAAUAAAAGAAUUGAAAGGAGAAAAAGUAGUUCGACCAGAGUGGAUCGUGGAGAGCAUUAAAGCUGGGCGUCUCCUUUCGCACAUUCCGUAUCAGCUUUACACCAAGCAGUCAGGUGUUCAGAAAGGUCUCAACUUUAACAGCAUACGCAAACCUGAAGAUGCUGUGCCAGGUCCAAGCAAUACAGCUAAAGAUCUCAACAGGGUAAAUCAUAUUAAAAAGUACGAAAUGGAAAAUGAAAUCACACCCAAUGGAAUAAACAGCUGGAAUGAGGAAGAGGAAGAAGAAAGUGUCGAUUUUGGAUUUACAGAGCUGGAGGAGAUUCUUCCCAUACGGAAACAAAACGGGAUUCAAUCUCAUAAAGACAGCACUGCCCUUUUUAAUGGACACACACACGCUUCUACCAGUGCCUUAAAGACACAGGAUUGCUUGGUGCCCUCCAGCAACGGUGUUGCAGGCAGGUUGUCUCCAGGCCCUGUGCAGGAGGAGGGGAAGACUGACAAAGGCAUGGUUGACUUUAGAGACUGCACAAUGCAGCAGUUGCAGCAAAGCAACAAAAAUACAGACUUUUCAUGGAGUCCACACAGGACUAUGAGUAACUCAUCCUCAUCUUCAUUUUUGCACAGUAAUGCUAAAAUAAAUGGUGCUCACCACUCAACUGUUCAGGGGCCUUCAAGCACAAAAAGCACUUCUGGACCUGCUCCUAGCAAGGCAGCUUCCUUACCUGUGUCCAAACCUUCAGAUUGUAGUUUUAUUUCUGAUUUUUAUUCACAUUCAAGACUGCAUCAUAUAUCAACGUGGAAGUGUGAAUUGACAGAGUUUGUCAACAGCCUGCAGAGAAAAAACAGCGGUGUCUUUCCAGGAAGGGAAAAAAUUAAAAAAUGGAAAACAGGCAGGUCUGCACUUAAAACUGACACAGGUAAUGUGUCUGUUGCGAGCUCAGCCAAGCCACAGAGCUGUAUAAUGCACGUGGAUAUGGAUUGCUUCUUUGUGUCUGUGGCUAUCCGAAAUAGACCAGAUCUCAAAGGAAAGCCAGUAGCUGUUACUAGUAACAGAGGUACAGGGAAGGCACUGCUGCGCCCUGGUGCAAACCCCCAGCUUGAACAGCAAUAUUACCAGAAAAAGCUAUUGAAUGGCAAAGCAGCAGAAAUUAGAGUACCUGAUCAGUUGGACUCAUCUGUCUGGGAGCAUACAGAUUCCACACAUGUGAACGGAGCUGACUUCAAUCUCACUGUUCUGUCCAUGGCUGAAAUAGCUUCUUGCAGUUAUGAAGCCAGACAAGUUGGCAUAAAGAAUGGAAUGUUUUUUGGCCAAGCAAAAAAGUUGUGUCCAAAUCUUCAAGCAGUUUCAUAUGAUUUUGAUGCAUACAAAGAAGUUGCACGGACAGUAUAUGAAAUACUAGCAAGCUAUACUCACAACAUCGAAGCAGUCAGUUGUGAUGAAGCACUGGUAGAUAUCACUGACAUCCUUACAGAGACCAGACUGACUCCUGAUGAAUUUGCGAACGCUAUCCGCACUGAAAUCAAAGACCAAACUAAAUGCACAGCUUCUGUUGGGAUGGGUUCCAAUAUUCUGCUGGCCAGAAUGGCAACUCGUAAAGCAAAACCAGAUGGACAAUAUCACUUAAAACCUGAAGAAGUGGAUGAUUUUAUCAGAGGGCAACUUGUUACCAGUCUUCCAGGAGUUGGCAGGACAAUGGAAUCUAAGCUGGCUUCUUUGGGAAUUAAAACCUGUGGAGAUCUGCAGUGUGCUUCAAUGUCAAAACUACAAAAAGAAUUUGGUCCAAAAACAGGACAAAUGCUCUACAGAUUCUGUCGUGGUUUGGAUGACCGACCUGUUCGUACAGAAAAAGAAAGAAAAUCUGUUUCAGCAGAAAUCAACUAUGGAAUAAGGUUUACACAGCCUAAGGAAGCAGAAGCUUUCCUUCUGAGCCUCUCAGAAGAAAUCCAGCGUAGACUUGAAGCUGCUGGUAUGAAGGGUAAACGAUUGACCCUUAAAAUUAUGGUCAGAAAGGCUGGAGCACCAGUAGAGCCUGCAAAGUAUGGAGGUCAUGGAAUCUGUGAUAAUAUUGCCAGGACUGUGACUCUAGACCAUGCAACAGACAGUGCAAAAAUAAUUGGGAAGGAAACUCUGAACAUGUUUCACACAAUGAAACUGAACAUAUCUGAUAUGCGAGGGGUUGGAAUUCAGGUACAGCAGCUAGUUCCCAUCAGUAAAACAACUUCAGCUCUCUCAACAGUACAAUCUGGACAUUUACCUGGUGCAUCACAUUCAGUUAUUGAUCUUUUUCAUGUUCAGAAAGCAAAAAAGCACUCAGAAGAAGAACCUAAGGAAGUAUUUGUGGCUGCUAUGGACCUUGAAAUAUCCUCUAAUUCAAGAACUUGCACUUUCCUUCCAUCUCGUGGUACCAGUGUCACACCUGGUGUCAGUUCUAAUGCAAACAACGCCGAGCCUGCUGUCAAGUGGAAUGGUGUGCAUUCUCCUAUCAGUGUAAAAUCCAGGCUCAAUUUGAGUAUUGAGGUUCCAUCUGCUUCCCAGCUAGAUAAGUCUGUGCUGGAAGCUCUGCCACCUGAUCUCCGAGAGCAAGUAGAGCAAAUAUGCACCAUUCAGCAAGGAGAGAGUUACGGAGAGAGCAAAAAAGAGCCAAUAAAUGGAUGUAACACUGCCCUUCUGUCACAGCCAAUUGGAACAGUGCUUUUACAAAUACCAGAGCUCCAAGAACCAAAUACCAAUAUGGGAAUCAAUGUAAUAGCCUUGCCAGCUUUCUCACAGGUGGACCCUGAGGUUUUUUCUGCACUACCUGCUGAGUUGCAAGCAGAGCUGAAAGAUGCAUAUGAUCAAAGGCAGAAGCAAUCAGAGCAGCAGCCUGCUAACACUUUAGUGUCAAAAAAUCCUUUCCUACACCUGAAGAAUACAACUAUGAAAAAUAAGAAAAAAAUACGAAAAAAAAAUCCAGUCAGUCCUGUGAAAAAGAUUCAGAGUCCUUUGAAAAACAAACUUAUUGGUAGUCCUGCAAAAAACGUGCCAGCUGCAUCUGGAAGCCCACAGAAGCUAAUAGAUGGCUUUUUGAAACAAGAAGGAACAGCUGCUCAGGCAGAAGCAGUUCCAUCAACUUCGGAUUCCCCGGGCCCAUCAGCUCUGCAGACGGAGCAGCAGCCGGGCUCCUUCAGGCCACAGGCCCCAAACCUCGCUGGAGCUGUGGAAUUCAACGAUGUGAAGACGUUGUUGAAAGAGUGGAUCACAACUAUCUCAGAUCCUAUGGAAGAAGACAUACUACAGGUUGUGAAAUACUGUACUGAUCUAAUAGAAGAAAAAGACUUGGAAAAGUUAGAUCUGGUUGUUAAGUACAUGAAAAGGUUGAUGCAGUCAUCUGUGGAGUCAGUUUGGAAUAUGGCAUUUGACUUCAUUCUUGACAAUGUUCAGGUAGUUUUACAACAAACUUACGGAAGCACAUUAAAAGUUAUCUGAACUUGUAGUAAAGAGCUUGAUGAGAGCCUGGAGCUCUCUGCUAGCUGUGCCAUAAGUGCUUGUGAGGUAUUUGCAAAGUGCAUGAUAGUAAUGCCCUGAGUUUUUAUAAUUUCAAAUUUCUUUUUAAACAACAAAGUGUUUUGUACAUUUCUUUUCAGAAAGUGCCAAAUUUGUCAGUAUUGCAUGUAAAUAAUUGUGUUAAAAUUCUUUUAUUGUAGUAUAGAAUCUAUUUACAAAAUGUUUGUUUAUAAAGUUUUAUGGAUUUUUACAGUGAAGUGUUUACAGUUGUUUAAUAAAGAACUGUAUGUAUAUUUUUGUACUGAUUCUAUUUUGUGAUGCUUCAGUUUGAAUAUAGUGAACCCCUUUAACUAAAGCUGCAGCUUUGAUUCAUUUCACAAAGUUUUACACAGUGGCACUGCCUCCCUCAGCACAUGGAGGAGGCUGCUGUACAGGCACCUGGCCACUUUUGUUUCUUCUUCACUAACUUUAUUACAGAUUUUAAGCUGAGGGAAGAAUAUUAGUUCAUUUUCAGUUUCAUCCUUCAAAGACUCAAGCCAGGGUGGCCCAGCCAGUCCUGAAGCACACAGGAUGUCAGCUGAAGCCUGGGUGCUGUCUGACCUUGGGUGUCCUCUCCCCUCUCACGUGCUUCUGGAGGAAGGCAAGUCACCCCAAAGUAGCACUGUAAAGGAGCGGGGAGUAGCCAGCACGGAGCACUGGUCAAGCCUGCAUCCAUCCUCUGCCUUGCUCCUACUCAAGACAGAGCCACGUGUGAAACACCACCGUUCUCCCCAGCCUGUGGCACGCAUUUCCUUCGUGCAGCAUAACAAAAUAGGUUGUUGGGAGCAGCUGAGACAAAAUAAACCAUCCCAUCACUCUGUCCCUGCUUGGAGGGUGAGCUUGCAUCCCUGCAGUUCAUGUUUUGGGCAACUCUAGUUUUUGCAGGUGUGCACCAGCCUCACACAGUUGUAUUUGGCCCAAUAUGUUGAACAAGGCUGUUCAGGGACCUGGAGAGAAUGAAGAGCACUUGACAAAAACCAAGUUGGUUGGGUCUCUUGGAGCCCCUUCAGUUCCUGCUUUUGAAGCUGCCUUUUCGCCUUGGUUAGAUAAACCAGCACCUCAACUGCUCUCAGCCAGGCAGGUAUUGCUGGAACUCAAGCAGGUGUUUUACCAGUGAGGUUUCGGGUUCAGCCCUGCUCUUGGAACUGGCACUCAGACAGAUGUACAGCUGGCAUCUUCAAAAGGACUCAGCAUUAAUUAACGGGAAGGCUGCUUUAAGUUCCAGAACAGGAACCUGCCAAAGGAGCAUAUCUGUUUCCUGCAGUUUUUACCUAUGCGAAGAACACCCUUACGGAUUUGAGGGAACAAAGAAGAAUACGUUGACCACACUCUUUGACGUCUGUGUUCUUAAGAACUUUUUAUUAGUGUAAUUUUCAUGAUUGCAUAGUUUGCAAAAGAAAAUUUUAACAAUUAAAUGCAGUCUCCUCCCUCUGACCAUUGUGUUCACCCACUGAUGGGAAGUUGCACCACACACCAACCAUAGUGAAAAGGUCCUUUCCAAUGGCAAGUUUAAAGUCUAACAAAAAAAAAUCCAGAAAGUUAAAUUCCAUUUGCAAAGGAGGUGAGUUACUAAAUGUUCCUUUGUAAUGGAGUCCACAUAGUCUCAAUCAUAACAUUCAGAUUUUU